GGGGGUGAUCGGUUUCGACAGCGUGAGUCGAGUGAGGUGAAGCGGGCCGAGGAAGGCAACGAUGAUCUCGUUAACCAUCCGUUGCAAAAAAAUCAAGUGCCGAUUCCAAGCGCACUGAGUUCGCCCUCGCCGCCUGAGCGAGUAAGAACUCCGUCAGACCGGGAGUCCUCCGACCCGGAGCCUGACGUCAGCUAGGAGGAUCACCGAGAGGCCCGGUCGCGGGGCCUUGAGGGACAUCAAACAGCGACUGGGCCCGUCACACCGUGGUGUCCGUGACAGCGGUGGGGUCAAGUAGAGACAUAACGGACUGCGCCCGGAGAAGCCCUCGCAAGGCCACGGUGGACGCGGGUUCAAUUCCCGCCACCUCCACGU
rfam:Nakamurella multipartita DSM 44233, complete genome.